rnacentral:rRNA from 1 species
AUGGCUGACGAGGAUGCCGCGGUCGCGGCUAACCUCGUCGAGGCUGAAGAGGAUGGUGGGCCAGCAAUGAUGAUUGCUUGCGUCGAGACCAUGCAGGAGGGCGGAGCGCCUCUGGCGACCAUGGUCCCGACAAGCAUCGAAGCCGUGCAGGAGGAUGCAGCACCUCCGACGACCACGGUGCCGGAAACCAUUAAGUCCAUGCGGGAGGCAUGGAGCUCUUCAAGUAAUCCCCUCCGGACAUCGGUAGCGCUCUCCCCGACAACAACGUUCUUGGGAGACUACGAUUGGGAGGAGAUGAAGACCUAG